rnacentral:rRNA from 1 species
AUUAAACCGCUGGCGGCAUGCCUUACACAUGCAAGUCGAACGGCAGCACGGGGGAACCCUGGUGGCGAGUGGCGAACGGGUGAGUAAAGCAUCGGAACGUGCCCUGGAGUGGGGGAUAACGUAGCGAAAGUUACGCUAAUACCGCAUAUUCUGUGAGCAGGAAAGCAGGGGAUCGCAAGACCUUGCGCUCUGGGAGCGGCCGAUGUCGGAUUAGCUAGUUGGUGGGGUAAAAGGCCUACCAAGGCGACGAUCCGUAGCGGGUCUGAGAGGAUGAUCCGCCACACUGGGACUGAGACACGGCCCAGACUCCUACGGGAGGCAGCAGUGGGGGAAUUUUUGGACAAAUGGGGGGCAACCCUGAUCCAGCCAUGCCGCGUG